rnacentral:lncRNA from 1 species
UGCUGUUUAACUAUGUGGAAGAACUGGUGGAGAUCCGGAAGCUGCGCCAGGACAUCCUGCUCAUGAAGCCAUACUUUAUCACCUGCAAGGAGGCCAUGGAGGCACGACUGCUGCUGCAGGUCAGACUGCUAGAAGGACCUGUCUCAGGUGGCCAGGGUGACGGAGCACUUCAUGCUCAGAUUCCUCAGAUAACCCUGUAGCUCUAGAUACAUUGUACUUCUAGUAGCCUUUUGAACGCUCUCUUCUGGGGAUGUUACAUCUGUAAUAAACUGGCAGACAUUUUACACAA